rnacentral:pre_miRNA from 1 species
CUUGUACUCCCUCCGUCCGAAAAUACUUGUCAUUGAAAUGGAUGUAUCUAGAUGUAUUUUAGUUCUAGACACAUCCAUUUUGAUGACAAGUAAUUUCGGACGGAGGGAGUUCUUG